AAUUUACUAUCAAUUUAUUGAUUUUGUAAGGUUUUUCCCUCUUAAGUUGUAGAGAGACAUUUUCUCUCUAGUUUCGCUUGAUUCUCUUGAACAAGCCAAGAGCUACUCUGGUUUUCAUGCGCUUCCCCUAUUCUUCUGGGGAGAAAAGGUCGACAUUUUUUGUCUCAACCUUGUGGCCUGCGCUCUCUAUUAUUGGGUUUGAGAGUAAAUGGGUUUCUGUUUAUUGUUUUUCUACAGAUUUAGAGUUCAAAUGAGAGAGUUUUCCUUAGAUUUGUAGUGUUUAUGGCUUGAUGGAGCAGCAUCACUAAUGGAAGUUAGUGGCCUUUGUCUUCUUGGAGAGUCCAUGCAUGUUUGGAGAAGGAUAACUCGUAGUUCGAUGAGCUUAUCUUAAAUGCUAAUUGUAGGCCCCUCUCCUCUUAGGCUAAAAGAGACCCGAAAGGCCAUCAGUUUUGCCCUAUCGUCUCUUGCGGCGUCGAUGAUGGUGGUUUGUUAUUUUUGAGGUCCAACGUUUGGCUAGGUUGAUAUCAAAAGUGGAGACUUUCAGUGAGUAGUCGAUUGUCCUACGCGGCUAAGGAAGCUAUCGUGGUGUUGGCCUCCCAAAUUUACUCAAGCUCUGGCGAUAGCAACGAUAGGCAAUUUUGUAAGGGUUUUGAUGAUUUGGUGUGUGGGUUGAUUAGUUUAUGGGUUUGGUUUGUUCUUUUCUUGUAUUUGCUAGACUCGGCUUUUCUUAGUUGUGAUUGUUAGUGGACUUGAUGUGUCUUUGCCUAUUGGACCUUAAUAAUGUAAUGUUGUAAUAAAAAAAAUGGAAAAAUGCAAUAUUCGAAAAUAAUGUGAAUAUUAAAUAUUAUAUUUAAAAAAUGAAAAAUAGAAGAAAAAGGAAAAAGAAAAAAUAUUUUAUAAAUGAUAAAUUUCAACAUUAUCUUCCAUAAUGGGAAAAAAAUAAAAUCAACAAGCGUGCUUUUCAUAUCUAUGGCGAUGGUGGCGCCAAUGGCUUAAUUUCUCAAUCAACAAGCACAAAGCUCCAAAGCACCAAAGCUUUGUGAUCCAGCGCUCUCUGAAUUUUUUUUUUCCGCAUAUCAAUGCUAUUGCUAGGUAACUCAAAACCCACCAAGGCAUGAGUUUUAGCCACUUCAGCCCAAUGUCCCUUAGAGGGUCCUUCUCAAAAUCCUUUCCUUUUCACUUCCCGCGUAAGUUCAAGGCACCAUUCACUCUAAACCCCGCCCAGAUCCCCCUGAAGUGUUUCAGUAGGAAUAUAAGUGGACCCAGAUUAGCUUAUGAUGCAUUCGAUGAAGUUUCUGACCAGGGAAAUGAAGGGCAUUUUAGAGGAACUGAAUUCCUACAUUUGAUGGAUGAGCAUGGAGUUCGCGCGAAUGCUCAAACAUAUCUAUGGCUUUUGGACUUCUGUUUGAAUUCUGGGUCUUUAAUAGAAUGCAAAAAGCUUCAUGGGAAGAUUCUGAAGGCGGGUUUUGAUAGAGAAAGAGUUUUGUGCGAUAAGCUUAUUGAUUUUUAUCUUGCGGAAGGUGAUUUGGAUAGUGUAGUUCAGGUUUUUGAUGAUAUGCUUACUAGAGGUGUGAUUACUUGGAAUAAGGUAUUAUCUGGUCUUGUUGCAAAGAAAAUGAGUAGCAGGGUAUUGUCUCUCUUUUCGCAAAUGUUAGAGCAAAAUGUAAAUCCGAGUGAAGUUACAUUUGCCAGUGUUUUAAGGGCUUGUGGAGGUGGUAAUACUGCUUUUUGCUAUGUUGAGCAGAUUCAUGCUAGGAUGAUUUGCCACGGGUUUGUAAAUAAUCCUAUUGCGUGUAAUCCUUUGAUUGAUUUGUAUGCCAAAAAUGGGUUUAUAGAUUCCGCUAGAAAGGUUUUUGAUAAGUUGUGCGUCAAGGAUAGUGUUUCUUGGGUAGCUAUGAUCUCUGGUUUUUCACAGAAUGGAUAUGGAGAAGAAGCUAUUCGCCUAUUCUAUGAAAUGCAUAUAUCAGGAAUAUUCCCUACUCCCUAUGUAUUUUCUGGUGUUUUAAGUGCCUGCACCAAAGGAGAGUUGUUUGAUACUGGGGAGCAGCUUCAUGCCCUAGUUUUCAAGUUUGGAUUUUGUUUGGAGACAUAUGUGUGCAAUGCUCUCAUCACAUUGUAUUCCCGCAUGGGGAACUUCAUGUCUGCUGAACAAGUUUUCGGCAAAAUUCAGAGUAAGGAUGAAGUUUCUUAUAACUCAUUAAUCUCAGGGCUUGCUCAGCAGGGAUGCAGUGAUAGGGCUUUGAAAUUGUUUAAGAAAAUGCAACUUGAUCACCUGAAACCAGACUGUGUUACAAUUGCAAGUCUCAUUAGUGCUUGUGCAUCUAUUGGAGCACUUUCUAAGGGAGAACAGCUACACUUAUAUGUGAUAAAAGCAGGAAUGUGUAUAGACAUUAUUAUUGAAGGUUCUCUGCUGGAUCUUUAUGUGAAAUGUUCCGAUAUAAAGACUGCCCAUAAAUUUUUUCUCACCACACAAACAGAAAAUGUGGUUUUAUGGAAUGUGAUGAUUGAUGGCUAUGUGAGGUUGGGGGACCUUAAAGCUUCCAGGGAGUUGUUCGAUAAUAUGCCUGAAAGAAGUGUGGUGUCAUGGAAUGUAAUGAUAUCAGGGUAUGCACAAAAUGGGCAAUUUAAGGAGGCAAUUGAGAUGUUUCACGAUAUGCAAAUGGGAGAUAUACCUCCAAAUUAUGUGACUUUGGUUAGCGUACUUCCUGCAAUUUCACGACUAGGUGCGCUUGAACUUGGUAAAUGGGUGCAUUUAUAUGUAGAGAAGAAUGAAAUUGAGAUUAAUGAUGUGCUUGGUUCUGCUUUGAUUGAUAUGUAUUCAAAGUGUGGAAACAUUGAGAAGGCAGUUCAGUUAUUUGAGCGGAUACAUAAUAAAAAGAAUGUUAUCACUUGGAGUGCUGUAAUUGGUGGGCUUGCUAUGCACGGUCGGGCAAAUGAUGCUCUCAAGUAUUUUAGGAGGAUGCAACAAGCUGGCGUGACACCCAGUGAUGUUGUGUAUAUUGGUCUACUGAGUGCUUGCAGCCAUGCUGGUUUAGUCGAAGAGGGUCGUUCAGUGUUCAAUCAUAUGGUUAAUUUUGCUGGUUUAGAACCUAGGAUUGAACAUUAUGGAUGCAUGGUUGAUCUUCUAGGUCGUGCUGGGCUUUUGGAGGAGGCUGAACAACUUAUACUAAACAUGCCUAUUCAACAGGAUGAUGUGAUAUGGAAAGCACUGCUUGGUGCCUGUAAAAUGCAUGGAAACAUUGAGAUGGGUGAACGUGUAGCAGGGAUUUUGAUGGGCUUGUUUCCACGUGAUAGUGGAUCUUAUGUAGCUCUCUCCAAUAUAUUUGCCUCUAGGGGAAAUUGGGAAGGAGUUGCAGAGGUCAGGCUAAAAAUGAAGGAAAUGGAUAUAAGAAAAGACCCUGGAUGUAGUUGGAUUGAGGUUGAUGGAGUGAUUCAUGAAUUCCUUGUAGAAGAUGAUUCCCAUCCUAGAGCUAAAGAAAUCCAUUCAAUGUUGGAGGAAAUUUCAAAUAGAUUGAGGUCUGUAGGCUAUAGGCCAAACACUACACAACUCUUGCUCAACAUGGAUGAAGAAGACAAAGAAAAUGCAUUGCAUUAUCAUAGUGAGAGGAUUGCCAUUGCCUUUGGUUUACUCAGUACAAGCCCCCAAACCCCACUUAGAAUCGUUAAGAACCUACGAGUUUGUGAAGAUUGUCACUCUUCAAUUAAACUAAUCUCAGAGAUCUAUAAACGUAAGAUCAUUGUAAGGGACCGGAAGCGAUUUCACCAUUUUGAGAAUGGGGCAUGUUCUUGUAUGGACUAUUGGUAGCUCCAUGCCUCUUUAUUAGUAAGGUUCAACCAUGGCAGGAGCGUGAGAAUCCUUGUCUCCUGAUAAAAUUUUGGAUUCGCAAAGAACCUAGGAUAAUGGAAUGAAAACAAGCAAAAAACAGUUUCAGCCAGAAAAUUUUAUGCUUGACUAGUCAAUGAUUAAGUGCCAAAAUCCAAGAGCAGCAUACAGAAUUGAAGAAGAAAACCAGGAGCAAAUUGGAAUUUGCCUGGAUUUUACUUUUGGGAUAGCUUGGGAUGCUUUUCCACCGAAGUCUUGUCAACGCUUCUUGACAUCUUUUAUCAGGAAUGGCUUUUGCAGGUGACAAGACAAGAAACUAAUCAUAGCAUGUUUCCACCAUGCCAAACAAAAGUUCCAUGGAAGAAGAAAAUUCCAGUUGGUAUUGUAAGUCUCAGUGAAGGUAAUAAAUAAUUACUUUACAGCUUCAGGUGGACUUGAUUUCAAAUUUCAUGCUGGUGCUCAAGUCUUUUUUAGAAAUUUGU
rnacentral:misc_RNA from 1 species